AAGAGGCUGUGCUCUGGGGCUCCGGCUCCUCAGAGAGCCUCGGCUAGCUCCCUGGUGGUCAUUGGGAGAUUUCGCAACUUGUGCAUAACAUUUGGGGGCUCGUCCAGGAUCUCCCACCGGCUCCACGGGAGGACUGAUCCGGAGAGUCAUCUGCAGCCGGGACACAUGGAAGAGACUCAAGGCUCUGUAUGAAUCAGGCCUGCCACCUGAACCCCACCGCUACCGGCCAGGAGACUGGGUGUUCGUGCGCCGCCAUCACCAGGAGACCCUAGAACCCAGAUGGAAAGGACCCUUCCUGGUUGUCUUGAAGACGACCACCGCACUCAAGGUUGACAGCAUAUCCACUUGGGUUCACUACACUCACGGAUGGCCUGCACACCUGUUCGUCUUGAGAGAAGAGUUCCUUCCCCAAUGGAAUGCCAAGCUGGACAAGACAAAUCUCAAGCUACAAGGAUGAUAAAAAUACUGUUUAUGCUGUUGUCUAUAUGGCCUGAUGCUGCCGCUAACCCCCAUCAACCCAUGAACCUGACUUGGAUGGUUUUAAGUACGACCACAGGAGAGGUAAUUAACUCUACCUCGGCCAUCUAUCCUACAAAGUAUCUGGUGGCCGGACUUGGAAUUUGACCUCUGUCUUCUGGCCGUGGGAUCUUGGGACACCGGUGACUGGGAGGUAAGAACACCCGGUAAACCAGAAUGUGGAGCCAGCAUUAAUCGUUGCAAUACCCGACCCCCUACCAACUCAGGACCUGGAUGCAGUCAUUUCAUUCAACGAGCAGCCUUGCGGGACACUACCUUCUAUGUAUGCCCCGAGGGAAGAUGGGACCGGGACUGGGCAACAGUCAAUAACUGCGGGGGCGCUGACAAAUUUUACUGUGCCACUUGGGGAUGCGAGUCAACGGGGACUGUCGACUGGGAACCUGCUACUCGAGGAGACUUGAUUACUUUGAGUCGUGUCCCAGGGCCCGCCGGAUUAACUGGGGGACAUGGGAGGGGAUCUCUCGUUACGGGGCCUUGUAUGAGGUUUCUUUGCAACCCGGUAAGGCUCAAAUUUUCAACCGAAGGAAAAAAGUUCCCCAGUUCGGAGGUGGGACAAUCUUGGGGCCUCCGGCUAUAUCAAUCAGGAUAUGAUAAUGGAUUAUUAUUCACUGUUAGGCUAAAAAUAGAGCCCAUACAGACAGGCCCAAGUUAAGGCAUAGGGCGUAAUUCUGUCCUAGUGCCCCGAGAGCCUACCUGGAUGCCUCCCGGGCCCAGGUUUACCAGUAUAAACAACCUCCCUCAAAUUAACUUUACAGUGCCCAAUGUUAAAGAUGGUCAGGACCUGUUAUUUGACAUGAUAGAUAGUACCUAUCAGGUCCUAAAUUCCACCCGCCCAGACCUAAUAGUUGCUGGUUAUGUUAUGACAUCAAACCCCCUUAUUAUGAAGACAGCCGUCCUGGGAAAUUACACCCAAACGAGAGACCACAGAACUUGCCGAUGGCAGCAAAGAGGGGAUGCAAGAUUAACUCUCCAAUGAGUGACUGGACAGGGCCUCUGCAUAGGGAAUGUCCCCCAAACCUAUCAACACCUCUGCAAUGCCACAGACUCUGUAAAAACAACUGAGUACCUGGUACCUCCACAGGCUUAGCACCUUGUAUACAUGGGCAGGUGUUAAAUGACUCAAAAGAUAUCUGUGUGUUAGUACUAUUAGUCCCCCGACUGUUCUAUCACUCCAAUGAUGAACUCUUCCAACAACUAGGAGACUCUCACCGGCCCAAGAGAGAACCUGUCACGGCUUUAACCCUCACAGUCUUGUUGGGGUUAGGAACAGCGGAGGCAGGAACCGGGAUAUCCUCUUUUGUAUUACAGAAUCAACAUUAUUCCAGCCUAAGGGCAGCCAUUGAUCUUGGUUUCGAGCGACUAGAAAGCUCAAUCAGCCACCUCCAAGAGUUGCUGAGCUCCCUGGCGGAAGUAGUACUGCAAAAUAGAAGGGGGCUAGACUUGGUUUUUCUCCAGCAAGGGGGCCUAUGCGCCGCAUUAGGAGAAGAGUGCUGUUUUUAUGUAGAUCACUCAGGGGUGGUCAGAGAAUCCCUGGCCAAGUUAAGGGAAGGGCUAAAUCAGAGAAAAAGAGAAAGAAAUGUCUCAAGAGUUGGUUUGAAUCCUGGUUCAACUCAUCCCCCUGGUUCACAACCCUCAUAUCUUCCUUGGCAGGGCCUCUGAUUAUCUUGCUUUUGCUACUCACCUUCGGACCAUGUUUAUUAAACAAACUAAUAACCUUCAUGAAAAGCUGCAUCAACAUGGUGCAGCUUAUGGUGCUCAGGUCCCAAUAUACAGCCCUACCAACAGCCCCCUUAGUGGGAGACAAUAUAGAUCUGACUACAGACCCAUGAUUUGGUCUAUCCUGGAUCCUUGGGAAUGGGGGAAUGAAGAACCUAAGCUACUCCAUCUUGUCAAAAAGAGAACUCCAUUUUGUGAGGUUCCCAGAAAAAGACUUUGGAAGUCACCCGAUCUCACCCCACUAUCCACACGCCAAUCAGACCUCAGACCAAAAUCUGACUUUACGUUUAGGAAUUUGUGGUUUGCCUAGGUAAUAAGACCCAAUCAGAAAUCAACACACAACCCUUCAAAAGAGGGUGACCAAUCAGAUGUCCUCCAGCCUGGAAAUCCCCCUUUACAUGAAUAUACCCUAUAUAAGCAAUGUAACCCAAAACUCGGGGCUCCUUCCCAUAGCCACUGCGUCGGUAACGGUGGGGGCCCCAGCUUGAGCUUGGUAAUAAAGACUCCAUUGCUUUUGCAUCGGACAUCGGCUCCAUGGUGGUCCCUGGGAGAUUUCACAACUUGGGCAUAACAAUACCUAGGCUAACUUUGUUAUACUUAGGAACAAAUUAGAUUCACCAGUGUGUUCUCCGAAUGAAACUCAUUUGUAUGUAGCGGAAAUACUAUACUAAAAUGAAACCAACUUUUCAACUCAUUAACCUUUCUGACUUAUUCUCGUGUGUAGAGGCUACAUGAUAUGUGGUACUGUCAUCACUGAUGUUAAUUGAAUGGUGCUGAAUAUUCUUCAAUUUACUAUAAUUUCCUAAGGUUUAGUAUGAAUGUCUGCAUCUAUAGAAGUUAACUCACUCUUUAGGUUAUACCUUCAAAA